GAACGCUGCAGCUGUAAGCGCUUGGUUCCCGGGGCAGCCUUCUGGAGGGGUGAGCGGAGCUGGCUCUGCUGGCCAACAGGGCACGGCGCCCGGGAUGCGCAUUGAGUUCCUCUCGCGGGCUGCUGGGAGUCGAGGAUCUCUCCCGACUGCGGCCUCAGGCUGGCCAGGCUUCUCUGCCCUCUUCUCAAAGCCUCAACCUUGGCAUGUAAAGACUUGAACAAACACUAACAUGGUCUUUUAACAUCAAAUCCACAUCCCUCGAGUGACCCCAGCUACAUUUGAAGUGCCUGCCUGAGAAAGCUCAAGGCUGCCAAAAGAAUUUAGCAUUUGUGCUGGUCAACAUCCGAAGGUAGGAUCUCUACCCCGUUUUUCUAGGAGGGGAGGAGCCUGCCUGCCAUAAAUUCUGGUUAGCAAUCCCGGGGGACAUAGGUUCGAGCCCUGGUCCAGGAAGAUCUCAUAUGCUGCGGAGUAACUAAGCCCGUGCAGCAAAACUACGGAACCCGUGAGCCACAACUACUGAAGCCCACAUGUCUAGAGCCCAUGCUCCGCAACAUGAGAAGCCACUGCAAUGAGAAGCCCUUGCACCGCAACAAUGAGUAGCCCCUGCUCACCACAACUAGAGAAAGCCUGUGCGCAGCAACAAAGACCCAAUGCAGCCAUAAAUAAAUAAAUUAAAUAAUUUUUUAAAAAGUUCUGUGUUUUGCAUGUUGUACCUUAUUUAAUACUCAGAAUAGCUCUGAAAGGUCACUAUUAUUGUCCCAUUUACAAAAGAGAAAACUGAAGCACAGAGAAGUAAAUAAGCUUAUCAUAAAUACUAUAUGAUGUGAAUCAAAUGUGAUUCAAAUCUAGGUCUGCCUUACUCCAAAAGUGUAUAUUCUUCACAAUGACACAUAGCUACAUGAACUGGCAUUACCCAGUGAAGAGUGGAAAUGAAGGAGAGGAGGUGCAGUAAACAGUUUCAGCUGGGAGCAGGCUAUAAUGGGGCUGUGGAAUCAGGAAGACUGUAGACACAAUUCCAACUGGAAAUUUCUGGAUCCACAGAUCUUUUUUUCUGACCUUGGCCCUCAGAGCUAUUAUACAUUCCCAGGUGAGUGCUAAGUAAAUGUGUGGGACCCAGCCAGGCUAACUCUUCCUUCUUAUAUGAGAUCUUUAAUAAAUCAUACAUCUUGGGACCCAGUGGCUCAGACUGAGGAAGCUCCUCUUCCUGCUAUUGGAGCAGCAAUGAAAUCUCUUAAUGAUUCUCAGUGUUACCAUAACUUUUUCAUGGCCCAGGAUUAUUCACUUGUCUCAACACUUCAACUUUUUGGUUUGGGGAAAAAAAAUACAAAAAGCAAAAACGUCAAGAGAAAACCAUCCACUUUCCUGGUGAGCUUGGGAUCAGUCAUACUAUAGGCAUGAAAUGGUUAUUGCUUUUUUGACUUUAGUGGGAAGGUGUGACUUGUAACAGGAUAUCAAAAUAAUAGUUCCAAGGUAAGCUGAUGGAGGAUAUUUAUUCACCCGAUAGCUAGAAGGGAUCCUUCUAUUGAAAAAUUCAGUAAAAUGUAAACUGGAGCAGUGAAACAGACAUCAAUACAUCAAUGAAAUGAGAAAAACAGUAACAUAUUGCUUAAUGAGGUGACAUUCAAGAUGGAAAGGCUCAGCUUGAACAAAGGAGUCACACUGAUUAUAAGGCAAAGAGUGGUCCUUGUGUGGUGAGAGUCAAAUUUUACAUGAAGCAGCUGCUCUCAGAAUGAAAGAGUAAUGAAUUUUUGUCUACUUAUUGAGCACUUAGCCAGCUGUUCUAUUUUCAGAACCAAAAGAGAAAUAAAUGCUUUAAUUUCAGCAUUUAAAAUCUAGAAAACGUUUUUACCAGACAUCUGUGGCCAAUUUUUCCAUUGUCCUUUUAUGUGUGUGUGUGUGUGUGUGUGUGUGUGUGUGUGUGUGUAUGUAUGUAUCUAUAUGUGUGUAGAUAUCUUCUGUUAUUCCUUAUAUACUACCUUACUUGGUAAAGAGUUUAAACUCUGGACAUAUAUUACUUGGAUUAAAAUCUAGACUACACAGUAUUAGCUGUUCGUUAGCUGACUUUGGAAAAAUUUCUUAGUUUCUUUAUUUUUCAGUUUUCAACACUGAAAACUGGGACAAAUAAUACAUCUAACCAAACUGCUUCGUAGAAUCGUGAAGAUUAAAUGAGGUAAUGUAAAGCAAAUACAAUGUCUUAAUAUUGGUUAAGUGAAAAAAAGCCCACAAUACUUAAUUGUAUGGAGUGAUCUAUAGUUUGCCAAGAGGUUUCACACGUUUCUCAUUUGGUCUUUUUUUUUUUUUGUCUGCACCGUGCAGCUUUUUGGAUCUUAGUUCCCUGACCAGGGAUUGAAUCCUUGCUCCCUGCAGUGGAAGCAUGGAGUCCUAACCACUGGACAGCCAGGGAGUUUCCUUCAUUAGGUCUUCAGUUACCUGGUGUGGGACUUCCCUGGUGGUCCAGAGGUUAAGACUCUGCGCUUCCACUGCAGGGGGCACAGGUUCAAUCCCUGGUCAGGGAACUAAGAUCCCAUGUGCCACGUGGCACAACCAAAAUAAAAAUAAGUGAAUAAAUAAUUAUUCAGAAAUAACUGAAUUGGUUAAAUAAAAAUUGUGCCUAUGCAUAUUAUUACCCAUUUCUGGAAACUUACUGGGACUUAGAAUAUUUGGUUACCUAAGGGAAGGAAAUUGAAAUUUACUGAGCAGAAGUCUUUUGGUUGUAAAUGACAGAAACUCAACUCACAUUAGCUCUUAUAAUGAAGUUAUCCCCUCUGUUAUGGGUUGAAUUUGGUCUCCCCCCAACCCCCAAAAAAAAUGAUAUGUUGAAGCUCUAACUCCCAGUACUUCAGAAUGUGACCUUAUUUGGAGAUAAGAUUAUUAUAGACGUAAUUACUUUAAAAUGAGACCAUUAGGGUAUGACCUAAUCUAAUGUGACUGUUGUCCUUAUGAAAAGGGGAAUUUGGACACAUGAACAGAGGGAAAACAAUGUGAAGAGACACAGGGAGGAAAUGGCCAUCUACAAGGCAAGCAGAGAGAUCUGGAACAGGUUCUUCUCUCCUAGUCCUCAGAAGGAGCCAAUGUGCUGACACCUUGAUUUUGGAUUUCUAUCCUCCAGAACUGUGAAACAAUAAUUAUUUUAUUGUUUAAGCCACUUGAUUUAUGGUACUUUGUUACAGCAGCCUUACCAAAAUAAGCAUCUUCUUGUACCUCAGUAGUUCAGGAGUAGCUUAAGGAUUUAGAUAUGGGUGGAUCUAAGGAAUAUAAUGAUAUCAUUAAGAUUUUAUAUAAUUCUUCAUCUCUUUUUCCUCUGUGCUGCUUUUACUAUAUUUCAUCAAUUCUAAAGUGCACAUUUUUCCUCUCAUUUUCACAUCUCUGAAGUCAGCAUGCAACUUACAUUUUCUUUUUACAUUUCUUCAUUCUUAGUGGAACAUAAAAAAAUGGUCUGUUAUAAUUAAUAGCAUUUUAGGAAAUCUUAAGAGUGUUUAUGGUCAGGCUCUGCAUGUGGGCAGUCUUGGCAGCUCAGAGCUUGAUAUCUAAGUCACUUAGCAACCCCCAUGGAACAAGGGAGCCUUUUCCCAAUUGUCUCAGCAAAUGACCCAGAACAAAUGUUCAUUGGCUCUAAUUGAUCUGGCUUUGGUUAAACUCAAGCUUAAAAAUCAGAGUUGGGGAGGAAGGGGCAGGUAGACUCAGCACCAUCGAAAUCUCAUGACCCAAGAGUAGUAAAGUUGUGACUUCCCAAAGGUGUUUGUUCACAACCUCGGGAGUUCCCCAGGUGAAAUUCAAAACUGACCCCUGUACAUGGAGGGCAAGAAAACACCAAAGAGGCAGACCACUCCAGAUUGGUAGGAGGCAGGUUUAAUAAACAAGAGGAUUUACAUAGCAGGCUUGUCUUGGGUGGCCUCCACUUCUGCCUGCCAGAAUAUUAGUCUACUGAGAGGCCUUAACUGGGUUCAGUAACGUAUGCAGUACAGAUGGUCUCAGCAGCAUAUGACUGUCUCCAGGCUGUGUCCUUGAAACAGCAGUUAGUAUGACAGUAGUAGGCUGAACAUAGAUUCCGGGACGGGUGGGGGUAAGGAGACUUAGAUUGCCAGGGUCCAGCUCUCAGGUCAACCAGCAGUCACAUUCUCUUGAUGACCUCCAUCCAAUAAAAAAUAAGUGUUGUUACCAAGAGGGGGGUUGAAUGCUCUAGAAGGCCUGCGUUACCACAGAGUACCUGCCUGUGCCAAGCACUGUCGCAUUACAUGUCCUUAAUCACUCUACCCAUUUCACUAAUCAGGAAACUGAGGCCCAGAGAAUGAUAGAGCUACUGGCAGUGCUGAAUGUUACCAAAUAGUUAUAAAGUGCUUACAGUGUAUAGGACAUUCUCCUAAGGGCUACAAAUACAGGGAUGAAUACUGUCCUUGAGCCUAAGAUACUUAAGAGACCAGCUUGCCCUGAAAUAAAAGUGAACCACAACAGAAAUAGAGACAUUGUACUAUGAAAUAAUUAAAUCUGCCUUGGCAGAAAGGAGGGAUCCAAUAUGGGAUAGAAGCUGAGAAAGAUUCUUUUCACACUCUUAAAAAACCUUUCUUGCACUUGUGACAAAUUACAUCAGAGCACCAGGAAGCAAAGAUAUUAAAUAUUGCAAAGAACCUGGUACAUGGAAAGUGUGAAAUAUUUAUGGAAUGAGUGAUUGAAAGAGUGAUGUGGGUAUCACUUGAAAAAGCUAAAUGUCAUUAGGACGUGGUGUUGUUUCACAGGCUCUGAGUCUUUAGCUCCAUGUGCAUUUUCAGAGUCAGUCAUUGUAUCCAGGAGUUCCGUCUUGCUCAUUUCCACCUGAUUUCAAGGGGCCUUAUAGCUCUGAAGUUUGCACUGUCUUUUCCGCUGAAUUUUGAAUAACUUCCGUCUGUUCUUUUUAGCUCUUUCAUUAUGAAUCAUCUCCUCAUAUUAAUAGAAACUUGUUUUCCAAAAUCUGUUGCAUUUAGUUUUCAAAAAAAUUUUACCAGGUCAUAAUUAUAGUUCACUACUGCUCUGCUUGGUUAGUUUUCAGAAAUAACAUAUGUAAUGACUUUAGAAAACUAUAGACUUUUGUAAAAGUUUGGGUCUCAGUUUGUAAUAAGAUGAUAUCUAUUUUCAUUUCUAGUCUCCUGAUUUGUGAUGAUCACAUUUUACAAUGGCAAAGUAGCUAGCUUGUUUCCACAUCACUGCCCUCCGAGCAUCCUUGCUCUUCCCUCCCCUACUUUCUGGAAUCACUCUUUUCCAUCUCUGAGGUGCUCACUACCCAGUUGUACUUUCUUGAUAUUCAGUGUCAUUGAUAGGACCCUUGCCCAUUACCACGGCUGAUAGUCUCAAUUACCUUUCCAAAAUUAAAAUUUGAGUUCAUUGACUCUCAGAGUUAUUUAGGAGUUAGAUUCCUUUUCUAUACAAAGCACCUCCAGCUGGUCUCUAGGCUGACCUAUUUCUGCUCACUGGAGACAAGAUCAUCAGCUACUGAGGCUCGUCUCAAGAAGUGUCUCAGUCAUGGUGAACCUACCAUAUCCCAUUGUGAGUCUGUCUCCAUUAGGCAUGGACUUAGGUUUUCUGUAUCAAAAUUCCUGGAAGGCAGUGUAAAAUUUGUAAAUAUUUUUGGCAAAAGCAUACCUGGGUUUGUAUAAGCCAGAUAUAAUUACCCUAAUCUCAAGCCAUUUUAUCUUUAUAAACCUAUCUUCAGUAGCUCUUCAAAUGAUAUAAUUACUUUUCUGACAUUUUGGAUUUACAGGUUUAUCUGUAACUGAUACUAGUGCAACGCUGCUAUAUAGCUUCCUAGAAAUUAUCAGAACCACCUAGAGAUCCCUUUUGGGUGGAAACUAGUGCUAUAAAGCACCUUAUGUUUGAAAAGGGCACUCGCUCUAUUCAUCAAAAAUUCUCAGAUUGAGUGACAUUUUGAUGUUGAAUGUGCAUGGAACACAGAUCAUCUAUUGCUUCUGUCUUACUCUGCACAUCAGAGCUCCUCUAAGGAUCUGAAUGUAGCAGUCAGAAUCCUGGUGGACCACAAGCCCACCUUUUCUUUCACUGUUUCUUUGUAAAGAUCUGGAUCCUUAAGAUCAGCAAGCAUAAGAUUGCUCCUGGCAAUUUCUCUGUCAUUCUUAGGUGGCAUUUCUUAGACCAGAUGGCAUGUCCUUCCUCAGAUUACCUGUUCAUCACAAGUCAAGAUGCCCUCAUGCCUCCUAAAUCAAUGCAUAUUUUCUCACUAUAUUGGAAAUAUAUAUUUUUGUAGUAACCUUAGGAAAAUACAGAAAUGUGUAGCAAAGAAAAAUCCUCAGUAAUACUGUAUUACUACUAUUUAGAGAUAACUGCUGUUAACAUUUGAUGUAUUUUCUGGCACUGUAUAUAAGUGUAUUCUAUAAUUUUAUGUUUCUCAGAUAUCAUUAUUUCAUGAGCAUGUUCCUGUACAGUAAAAAUUCUUUGAACAUAUCAUAUUAUAUAUUCCUUCAUUAUGAAUGUAUCAAUGAUUUACCUCUUUACCUAUUGCUGGAUGCUUAGAUGUUAUCUUUUAUUGUAAAUAGUGGACAUAUUUAUAACUUUAUUCUCUUAUCCAGUGAUCUACUUAAGAUAAAUUCCUUGAAGAGGAAUUACAGAAUUAAAGGGUUUGAUUAUCUUUAUCUUUAAUGUUCUUCAUAUAUACUACUAGGUUGCCCUUCAGGAAAGCAUUAGCAAUUUAAACUACCAGCUCUUUAUGAAUACCUCUUUCAAUAUUCCCCCAAUAACGUAGAAUAUUUUCAUUAAAUUUUUUUGACUAUUUGACAGAUGAAAGAUGUUAUCACACUUUUCUUUUACAUUUUAUUUCUUUGGGUACUAAGAAGUUGAACAUUGUUUCUCAUAUGUUUUUUCCUUAUUUGCGUUUAUUUUGUAUGUUCACUCUUUAUGUCCUUUGCCUAUUUUUUCUAUAAGGUUGUUAAAGUUUUCUUUUUUGAUAUUGGACCUCAGCUGAAAAGAGUUGAGCUAAUGAUACUUCUCUUUUCAUGUACAUUACCAGGCUCACUCCCUUUUAUCUUGACUGACUGAUUCCCAUUUUACUCCCCCUCCCUCCUACUAGGAAACACAUAGGCAAGUUUCCUAGUAUAUUCAAUAUCCUUUCAUUUGUGUAAAUUAUUAUAAAAUGUGUACUAUUGUAAGCAUGUAUUUUCAUAAAUCAAAUGGUAUUACAUAUUACAUUUAAUUCUGUUGCUUAGUUUUACUUAGUACAAUUUUAAAAAUCCAUCUGUAUUGCUCUGUGUAUAUCUUGUACUUUAUUUCUUAUUGCUGAAAACUAUUCCAUGGUGGGUGCCUUCACCAUAUUUUCCCCAGGUACUUCUCCAAUGAGGGUCACUCUGAUGUCUCCCAGAUUUCAUCUCCACUGUGCCACUGUAAACAAUGGCCACAAUAAACAUACCUCUGCAUACUAUACUGCUUUCAAGCUUGUGAGAAUUUGGGGGGAAUAUAUAGAGAGAUAUAGACACACACACACAUACACAAACAUACACAACACACACACACAGGAGUAGAAUUGCUAGGUCAUAGCAAAUUUGACUAACCUGCCAAUUGCCUUUCAGAUGGUAUUUCCAGUAUGAAUUCCCACCAGCAGUGCAUGAGAGUUCUGAAUUCCCUACAUUCUUUCUACACUUACGGUCCACUCUAACAAAGGCCAACACUUACCUGAAAGAAAUUGAUGUCCCUUCCUAAAAUUCAUAUUCUUUCCUCUGAAAGGAAGCAAACUGGCAGAAAAUAAGUAAUUUCAUUUAAAUUAAAUGACUGGAAAUUAUAUAGAAGAGUCUGGACAAAAUGAAAGGACGAUUUUUAAAGACAACAAAUUAUAAUAAAAGGAUUCAGGGCUUCCCUGGUGGAGCAGUGGUUAAGAAUCCUCCUGCCAAUGCAAGUGACACGGGUUUGAGCCCUGGUCCAGGAAGAUCCCACAUGCCAUGGAGCAACUAAGCCCGUGUACCACAACGACUGAGCCUGCACUCUAGAGCCCGUGAGCCACAACUACUGAAGCCCACAUGCCUAAAUCCCAUGCUCUGCAAUGAGAGAAGCCACCGCAAUGAGAAGUCCGUGCACCACAAAGAAGAGUAGUCCCCACUUGCCGCAACUAGAGAAAGCUGGCGCACAACAACGAAGACCCAACACAGCCAAAAAUAGAAUAAUUUAAAAAUAAAUAAAUUAAAAAAAAAAGGAUUCAAAGUUGUUUUUUACUGAAAAAAUGAAAGCAAAAAAUACAAAUAAAGUAGUUUAAUUUUUUUUAAUUGACAGAAGAAAGUUUUGGUUUUAAAAUAAAAAUGGUCUAGCUUCUACUCAAAAUCUACAUUAACCAUUAGUAAGUAAGAGGUGGGGUAAAAGCAACUUCAAUGACUUUUUCUCCCUUUCCUCUGAAAGGCCAGGAGAUGGGGCUAACCUGCCUCCCAUAUUGUGUAGGCUCCUACACAGAUGACUGAGUAGAAAACAGUUCACACACACACACACACACACACACACACACACACACACACCAGUUUUAAUUAAAAUGAGAUGAUCUGUAAGAAAGGACCAUGCUGAAGGACCAUGCUGGCCCUGAAGCAGUCAUUGAAAUGUACCUCCUCUCUGAGUCCCAUUAGCGUUCUUAAAAUUAUGUUUAUCACACAAAAGCAGACAAAUCCACAAAGGGUAUGAAGGAAGAAGAGAAAACUAAGGAGGGAAGGAAGGGAAGGAAGGAAGGAAAACGUGGUGAGGGAGGGUCAACUAGCAAGACUGCAUUUCUAACCCAUGAAAACACAAAAGGACAGCUAAAAACUGUUCUUUACAUAUAGAUAACUGCUUGCGUUUGGACCUGGAACCAACAAUCAAGAUCAAAUGAUAAUUUAACUGAGCAGGACCCUAUGGGGUCUUCCUGGGACAGACCCCUCUCCCAUAUCCUCUGCUUUAGCUCCUCUCUGAAGUACCUAGAUAACAGUAUCUGAUACACAUUUCCUGACGUGUU